rnacentral:rRNA from 1 species
AGGACGAACGCUGGCGGCGUGCCUAACACAUGCAAGUCAACGGGGGUUACGAGAGCUUGCUCUUGUAACUUAGUGGCGAACGGGUGAGUAACGCGUGAGAAACCUGCCUCUCAGUGGGGGACAACAGUUGGAAACGACUGCUAAUACCGCAUAACACUUUAGUACCGCAUGGUACAGAAGUCAAAGCUUUAUGUGCUGAGAGAUGGUCUCGCGUCUGAUUAGCUAGUUGGUGAGGUAACGGCCCACCAAGGCGACGAUCAGUAGCCGGACUGAGAGGUUGACCGGCCACAUUGGGACUGAGAUACGGCCCAGACUCCUACGGGAGGCAGCAGUGGGGAAUAUCGGGCAAUGGACGCAAGUCUGACCCAGCAACGCCGCGUGAAGGAAGAAGGCUUUCGGGUUGUAAACUUCUUUUAAGGGGGGAAGAGCAGAAGACGGUACCCCUUGAAUAAGCCACGGCUAACUACGUG